GAUGAACGCUAGCGGCAGGCCUAACACAUGCAAGUCGAGGGGUAGCAGGAUUAAGCUUGCUUAAUUGCUGACGACCGGCGCACGGGUGCGUAACGCGUAUGCAACCUACCUUAUACUGGGGUAUAGCCCGGAGAAAUUCGGAUUAAUCCCCCAUAGUACUAAUGAAUCGCAUGGUUUAUUAGUUAAAGCAUUGCGGUAUAAGAUGGGCAUGCGUCCUAUUAGCUAGAUGGUGAGGUAACGGCUCACCAUGGCUACGAUAGGUAGGGGGCCUGAGAGGGUGGUCACCCACACUGGUACUGAGACACGAACCAGACUCCUACGGGAGGCAGCAGUGAGGAACAUUGGUCAAUGGGCGCAAGCCUGAACCAGCCAUGCCGCGUGCAGGAAGAAUGCCCUAUGGGUUGUAAACUGCUUUUAUUUGGGAAUAAACCUCUUUACGUGUAGAGAGCUGAAGGUACCAAAUGAAUAAGCACCGGCUAACUCCGUGCCAGCAGCCGCGGUAA
rnacentral:rRNA from 1 species